CGCUCAGGUGGCCUAGUGGUUAGAGCAUCCACAUUGGAUGUGGGAGGUCGUGGGUUCGAUCCCCAGUUGAGUCA